AGGGGAGAGAUUGGUGGAGGAAAUUAAGGGUUUUGAUGAGAGGGGGGAGUGUGUGCCCUUUGUAUUCCAAUAGUGAGAAUUCGAUUGGGGGAGGGUGUUUGUGCCGAAUUUAGUCACUUAGCACUAAAGGUUUUCGAUUUUGUUUUUUUUUUUUGGAGUUUUUCUCUCAGUUUGCUUUGAUUUCGGCGAGUUUUGAGUUUCAUGUUUUAGUCUUGGUGCCAAAUUUUUGCCUAGUUUUUAGAAGUACAUCUCGGGAGUGAUCAUUUUCCUUUUCUUUUCUGCUUUUUUCCUCUCUUUUUCCCCCAUUGCUGAAUCCUCAUUUUACUUUCUUUUCCUUUUCUUUUUUCUUUUGGCCGAACCUUUCUUUUCUUCUAUUUUUUCUUCUUUGGCCGAAUAAUCUUUUUGAUUUCUUCGAUUUGUCUCUGUCAGGUUUUCUCCUUUCUUAUCUUCUAGCCGAAUAUUACCCAAUCAUUGUAUCGUACUCUAUGUUGAUCCUCUCUGCUGCUUCUUGUCGUUUCUGUGCUACAAGCUUCUGACUUUCGGUAUGUGGUUUUAC
rnacentral:lncRNA from 1 species